rnacentral:rRNA from 1 species
GAUGAAUGCUGGCGGCGUGCCUAACACAUGCAAGUCGAGCGGCAGCGCAGGUAGUUUACUACCUGGCGGCGAGCGGCGGACGGCUGAGUAACGCGUGGGAACAUGCCCCAAAGUGAGGAAUAACUGCCCGAAAGGGUAGCUAAUGCCGCAUAUGGUCUUCGGAUUAAAGGAUUUAUCCGCUUUGGGAGUGGCCUGCGUACGAUUAGAUAGUUGGUGAGGUAAUGGCUCACCAAGUCGACGAUCGUUAACUGGUCUGAGAGGAUGAUCAGUCAGACUGGAACUGAGACACGGACCAGACUCCUACGGGAGGCAGCAGUGAGGAAUCUUCCACAAUGGGCGAAAGCCUGAUGGAGCAACGCCGCGUGCAGGAUGAAGGCCUUCGGGUCGUAAACUGCUUUUAUGAGUGAAGAAUAUGACUGUAACUCAUGAAUAAGCACCGGCUAACUACGUGCCAGCCGCCGCGGUAA